UUGCCCCAACAAAAUGAUAGUUUGUUA
rnacentral:sRNA from 1 species